GUGUGUGUGUGUGUGUGUGUGUGUGUGUGUGUGUGUGUGUGUGUGUGUGUGUGUGUGUGUGUGUGUGUGUGUGUGUGUGUGUGUGUGUGUGUGUGUGUGUGUGUGUGUGUGUGUGUGUGUGUGUGUGUGUGUGUGUCAUAUCACAUGUGGUGUGUGUGUGUGUCAUAUCACAUGUGGUGUGUGUGUGUCAUAUCACAUGUGGUGUGUGUGUGUGUCAUAUCACAUGUUGUGUUUCAGAUCACGUGUGUGUGUGUGUGUGAUAUCACAUGUUGUGUGUCCUAUCACAUGUUGUGUGUUACUGUGUGUCAUACAUAUCACGUGUGUGUGUGUCAUAUCACAAUUUGUGUUUCAUACAUCAUGCACUAGGUUAAUGGAACUACACUACCCUUAAUGCACUAGGUUAUGGAACUACACUCCCCAUCAUGCACUAGGUUAAUUGAACGACCCUAUCCAUCAUGCACGAGGUUAUUUGAACUACAGUACCAUCAUGCACUAGGUUAAUGGAACUACCCUGCCCAUCAUGCACUAGGUUAAUUGAACGACCCUACCCAUCAUGCACUAGGUUAAUUGAACUACCCUACCCAUCAUGCACUAGGUUAAUGGAACUAAUGCUGUAAUCCAUUUGGAUGGUACGUUGGUACAACUUUACAUUGUAUUGCAUGCACAGCAAGACCGUGCAAUGCAUAAAUUGGUCACCGGCAUAAAGUAGCAAUUUAAUCAAUUGUGUUAAAGCAUACAUUAAAAUGACCAACGUGAUACAAAGAAAA